UACGUAGGCAGCAAGCGUUGUUCGGAAUUACUGGGCGUAAAGAGUGUGUAGGCGGUGCUCUAAGUCUGUUGUGAAAUCUCCCGGCUUAACCGGGAGGGUGCGGCGGAAACUGGAGUGCUUGAGGGUGGGAGAGGUAAACGGAAUUCCUGGUGUAGCGGUGAAAUGCGUAGAUAUCAGGAGGAACACCUGUGGUGUAGACAGCUUACUGGACCACUUCUGACGCUGAGACACGAAAGCGUGGGUAGCAAACAGG
rnacentral:rRNA from 1 species